UACGGAGGGUGCGAGCGUUGUCCGGAUUUAUUGGGUUUAAAGGGUGCGUAGGUGGCUUUUUAAGUCAGUGGUGAAAUACAGCCGCUCAACGGUUGAAGUGCCAUUGAUACUGAAGAGCUUGAAACAAGUGGAGGCUGCCGGAAUGGAUGGUGUAGCGGUGAAAUGCAUAGAUAUCAUCCAGAACACCGAUUGCGAAGGCAGGUGGCUACGUUUGAUUUGACACUGAGGCACGAAAGCAUGGGGAGCAAACAGG
rnacentral:rRNA from 1 species